UUUUGUGGAUAUAGUUUCUAUUGUUUAGUUACAAUUUAUAAUUUAAUAAAGAAUAAAGGGUUAGUUUACUUGCCAUUGAUCCUCCCUUUUACUUACCUGCAAUCGUCGAGAAAAUACAGUAUUUCUUCCCUCCUGUCGUUUGGUCUACCGUCGACUUACCUGAUCGUCGGGACAACACAGUAGCGGAAAAGUUGGUCUUACUCAAAUAUUUGGAAAUCUGAGUUCAAUCCCUAAGUUAAAUGGAUCAAACUUCAAGAUUUGGAAGGAAAGCAUAGAGAUACUUCUCAGGUGUAUGGAUUUGAACCUUGCAUUAAAGACCGAUAAACCUACUUCUACUAAGGAACAACCAAAUAUGACUAAUAUAGAGAAGUGAGAAUGGUCAAAUCACAUGUGUCUGAUGAUCAUUAGGUACUCCAUUUCGGAGUUUUUCGGGGCUUUAUCACAGAAAGUGAAAAUGCCAAUAAGUUCUUUGCUCAAAUUGAGAAAUAUUUUGCUAAAAAUGAAAACAGGGAAGCAAGUAGUCUUUUGACUUCUUUAACUUCUAUGAGAUAUAAGAGCAAUGGAAACGUAAAGCAGUACAUUAUGGGAAUGUCCAAUCUCACAGGUAAAUUAAAGGUACUUGAUAUCGUGAUAAAUGAAAAUUUACUCGUAUAUCUGGUACUUAUCUUUCUUCCUGCACAAUUCACUCAGUUUAAGAUAAGUUAUAACAGUCAAAAGGAUAAAUGGAGUAUUAAUGAGCUUAUUUCACAAUGUGUGCAAGAAGAAGAUAGGAUUAAGAGAGAAAUGACAGAAAGCGCUCAUUUGGCAAUAGGCUCUCGUGAUAAAAAGAAAAGGAAAUUUGUGGAUGCUACAGAAAGGACAUCUCAAGAAACAAGCUACUGAAAAACCUUGUUUUUUCUGCAAAAUGAAAGGUCAAUUCAAGAAGGAUUAUCCCAAAUACACUAAGUGGCGUGUAAAGAAGGGGUUGCCUGUGAAAUUGGCCGCCAAGUGAUUUGAAAGAUUCAUCUAUGCAGGUGAUGGCAAAGCAGUUCCAGUUGAAGCUAUUGGGAAUUUUAGAUUACUUAUAAAAUUUGGAUGUUAUUUAGAUAUGAAUAAGACUUUUUUGUACCAUCAUUUAGACAGAAUUUAGUUUCUAUUUCUAGU